ACUAUUUUUCCCAACAAUCGGCAUUGCAGCACUAGGUUUAAAGCCCUCCCAGCAGAGUUUAUUCCGGAAGCAGAAUUUUACAAAAUCGAAGCAGUCCUAAGUUGACCGGGAUUAGUGGAGAUCUGACGGAGUGAAAUGCAAACACAAUCAGUAAUAGAGAAGACAGAUGGAGAGAAUGAGCAGCAGACGAGCAGAUAUAAUUUCAUCCUCUCCUCUGCGUCAACUCGAAUAGUUUGCUGUUGUUUUAACUUUUCAAUAGGAAAAAAGGGUUGGUUAACGAAGAUCUACAAAGCUUCCGCGGCUUCAUGGUUAAUGUUUUAGCUGAAGUUAGAACAGUUAAAACAAAUGCAGCCUUGGUAUUGUUAAAGCGUACAAUUGGGAUUUGGUGCUAGUUCCAUACCACAGCUUAUCGACAAGGUGUUCUUGGGGAAAGAUUAACUUGAAUUGCAGCUUCUACCGGCGAGAACAAACAGGAGAAGCGGAUCAACUAGAAGUUCACUACUCUAAUGAAACAACUUGAGACCCCUCAGGGUUCUGUUUACUUGGCAGGAGAAGAGAGGAGAGGUGGGUGGAAAACAAUGCUUAUUUGCCCAAAGUACCCUUGGAUUAGGGAUAUUAGUAGGUAAACAUUAAUUGAAAAUAAAGGGGCAUUUACCAGCUGCUUAA